AAUCAGAUGAUGAUGAUGAGGAUUAUUGCCAAGAAGAGGAAGUGAAGCGAAAUCCGGCAGAAAAGGUCCCGCCGAAAAGAAAACGAGUUGUGUUUGUGGAACCUCCAGAGGUGAAGCCGCCGGAGCCG
ensembl:snoRNA Y111B2A.35 ncRNA